rnacentral:lncRNA from 1 species
GCAAAGAGGAGGACGCGGUUGCUAGGCCUCCCUCCGAGGCCACUUCCGAAGUUCAGCCUCUUUUCAAGGCCAUUUCUACUUUGGGAGAAGGGACCUAAGUCUCUGCGCGCCCUUGCCUGCUAUUAAAGGGGAUGCGGGACCUAGGAUCUCGAUUAUGAACCCAAUAACGGCAGACACUGAAUCCGGCGGACGAGGGAGAAAGCUGUGUAUAACCGGGUGCUGUAUACGAAAAGAAAUUCCUGAUCUGCUAGGAUCCAGCUUAAGAGAUCCAGUACUGGAGUCGGCAGAACUGGAGUAAAAUCCUGGUCCCUGUAUAUGAGUGAUGGCUGUGGAGAGUUCUAAACCAUCAAGCAAAUAAUUGCCAUCAUAAUCGUGCAUUUUGAAGUAAUGGAGCUGCAAAUCUUGUAGUGACAUCUCCGCCUCUGGUU